rnacentral:rRNA from 1 species
UACGAAGGGUGCAAGCGUUGUUCGGAAUUAUUGGGCGUAAAGGGCGCGUAGGCGGGCUUGUAAGUCGAUUGUGAAAUCCCCGGGCUUAACCCGGGACCUGCAAUCGAUACUGCAAGUCUUGAAUGCUUGAGGGGGUGGUGGUAUUCCAGGAGUAGAAGUGAAAUUCGUAGAUAUCUGGAGGAACAUCCGAGGCGAAGGCGGCCACCUGGCAAGACAUUGACGCUGAGGCGCGAAAGCGCGGGGAGCAAAC